GGAGUUGGCCAGAUGAUCGCCGCCGUUAUUUAUAGCGGGGGAGGAAAGUCCGGGCUCCACAGGGCAGGGUGCCAGGUAACGCCUGGGCGGCGCAAGCCGACGACUAGUGCAGCAGAGAGUAUACCGCCGAUGGCUUUUAUCUUCGGAUAAUCGCACAGGUAAGGGUGAAAGGGUGCGGUAAGAGCGCACCGCGCGGCUGGUAACAGUUCGUGGCACGGUAAACUCCACCCGGAGCAAGACCAAAUAGGCUUCCUUACGGUAUGGCCCAUAUCGGAAGCGGGUAGGUUGCUUGAGCCUGUGAGCGAUUGCAGGCCUAGAGGAAUGAUCAUCCACGACAGAACCCGGCUUAUCGGCCAACUCCCCCA
rnacentral:RNase_P_RNA from 1 species